rnacentral:rRNA from 1 species
UACGUAGGGGGCUAGCGUUGUCCGGAUUUAUUGGGCGUAAAGAGCGUGUAGGCGGCCAGGUAGGUCUGGUGUGAAAACUCGAGGCUCAACCUCGAGACGCCGGUGGAAACCGUAAAGCUAGAGUCCGGAAGAGGAGAGUGGAAUUCCUGGUGUAGCGGUGAAAUGCGCAGAUAUCAGGAAGAACACCCGUGGCGAAGGCGGCUCUCUGGGACGGUACUGACGCUGAGACGCGAAAGCGUGGGGAGCGAACAGG